rnacentral:rRNA from 1 species
AUUGAACGCUGGCGGCAUGCCUUACACAUGCAAGUCGAACGGUAACAGGUCUUCGGAUGCUGACGAGUGGCGAACGGGUGAGUAAUACAUCGGAACGUGCCUAGUAGUGGGGGAUAACUACUCGAAAGAGUGGCUAGUACCGCAUGAGAUCUACGGAUGAAAGCAGGGGAUCGCAAGACCUUGUGCUACUAGAGCGGCCGAUGGCAGAUUAGGUAGUUGGUGGGAUAAAAGCUUACCAAGCCGACGAUCUGUAGCUGGUCUGAGAGGACGAUCAGCCAAGCUGGGACUGAGACACGGCCCAGACUCCUACGGGAGGCAGCAGGGGGGAAUUUUGGACAAUGGGCGCAAGCCUGAUCCAGCAAUGCCGCGUGCAGGAUGAAGGCCUUCGGGUUGUAAACUGCUUUUGUACGGAACGAAAAGCCCUGGGUUAAUACCCUGGGGUCAUGACGGUACCGUAAGAAUAAGCACCGGCUAACUACGUGCCAGCCGCCGCAGUAAUAC